GAUUUCUGACGAACCGGAGUGGCCCGUUUCCUUUUCGGGGAUGAGUGCCGCUUUGAGUUUGUCAUCCUUCCAGAGAGCUGCGUCUACCGUUUACUCGGCCGGAUGUAUGCGAUCUGGAUCUAUUACUUUGAAAAAAUUAGAUGGUUCUAUUUUGUUGGUUUCUAGGACCGAAGUAAUGAUUGAUAGGGAUAGUUGGGGGUGCUAGUAUUCCACGGCCAGAGGUGAAAUUCUUGGAUUCGUGGAAGACUAACUACUGCGAAAGCAUU
rnacentral:rRNA from 1 species